CAUUUGAAAAGCACAACUCUCCAGAAUCUCUAACCUGUGACUCCACUUUAUUGAAUGCUGUUAUUUCAAAGGAAUCUAGUAAAAUGAUGAUUGAUGAAAUGUGUAAGCCCGUUAUAAAUGACUCACCAAAUCGUCUUAGACUCAAGAGAACUGUAUCAUCGUUGGCAAAUAUUAAUAUAUUGAAGUCAAAAAAGAUUAAACUGCUCAAUCAAAAAGUGAAACGUCAAGGCAAAAAAAAUAGCUUCAAUGAAACGAGUGAUCGAGACUUUGAAAAAAAAUAACCUUGUCAAUUAUGACACAAGUGAAUUGUUGUCUUCCAGUUUUGAUUUUGAUCGUCUGGAACGAUCCUAGAUGUCUUGAGGAUAUCAAAUUUGUUUAACAAGAAAUAUUGUUGAUUAUAAGAUCAACAAGCAGACAAAAGUUAAUAGCAUGGAGUAAUAAUAAUCUUGUUAUUACUCUAUGGCUAUUAUUUAUAUUUAGGCCCUAGAGUCCUGGACUAUUAUGUCCUAAAAUCUACAACAAUUUUACUUAGUUUAAUUUUCCAGUUUAAUUAUGAAACUUUAAUUCAAUUUAUUGUUUGUUUUUGAUUUCAGAUUUUAUUUUGAUCGUCUGGAACGAUCCAAGAUAUCUUGAAGAUAUCAUAUUACUAGAAAAUUAAAUGCUA